CUGCUUUUCCAUUUGCCACAUGAUGCUUCUGACCAGCAAUGUCGAUACAGGCAAUAUUUGGGGAAUCUCAGAGCAAGACAGUUCAGAUGUGAGUCUGGUGACCAGAAGAGAACUAAGGACCAAAUGUCUAGAUUUGGAAAAUAACAUAAAACUGUUACUUAAAAAUCUACAAGAGUAGAAGAAAAUGUGUAAUGAUUGUGAGUGUGGCUAGAAGAACCUAAAACAAACUUGAUACUGGGCAAGCCGAGGAACAGGAGGAGGAAAAUCUCAUGAAGGAGCACUCAGAGAAGAGACCAACACAGACACCAUUGGUGAUCACUCCCCAGGAGGUGUUGAUGGGAAGGUCACAGUGGUGAUAGGACACAGGAGGACGGUCUCUCUGCCGGCUUUUUCAGGCUCGCCAUGACGACACACAAGCACAAGGGGUAUUGGCUGCUGACUCUUCAUCGUGGAUGCACCUGCCUUCAGCUGCUAAAGAGGAAGGGACACGCAGAGGCAGCGAAGAGGAUGUGCCUGCAUUUUUAAAUAAACUGCCUUGUGAUGCAGAAGGCCUAUGAAACAUUUUCGAUAUUGAACCCGAGGUACAUGGAAAAUUACUCACAUGGUUUUAUUUUUUCCCCCCCUGACGACUCUAGUAAUCCAAAGGGAAAUUAUUCUGGUUGAAUGACUCAUCUAAAACACGUUUUUUGACUGUAUCUUGGCCAAGGAAGAAUCUAUUCAGAGAUAACAAUUUAUUAUUUAACAUUUUGACAGGUCUACAGAAGUACAAGUCAAUUGAGUCCAAAUAAAGAAAUGUGCUAUUUUUAACAAAUUCUAGAUGUUCUUGGCGGAAGGUAGGCUAGACUUCGUCAGAGGGAAGAAACAGGUUUAUGAUCUUUUUCCUUCAGGUCUUCAAUUAAAACUUGAUAAUCAAAAUAAUACUUUAAAAGAGAAGCCAAGAAAUAGCCUUAGAAAUGCUUAUGAAGAUAUGAUAAAAGGUAAACAAGAGUGAAAGAAAGAAAGAGAGAGAGAGAAAGGAAGGGAGGAAAAAGGGAAAGAAGAAGAAGCAACUGUGCCCUGGAACUAGAAAUAGAUGUGCUUGAAAUACAGAAAUUGGAAUAUUUCCAUUACUUCAUCCUUAUUAUUGCAUAGAUUAUGAGACGAGAUCUCAUACAUUAUAAUAUGCUUUUAUUUCCCUAUAAUAAAGGUAUUUCAUCUUUUAUAGAUGAAAAAUACUAUCCUGUUGGAACUCAUCCCAGUGGUAACAAACCUAAAAUGGGAUUUUUAUAUUUUCAUAAUGUUUUCAAACAUUUCAUAUGCUUCAUUUAAGCCACCACUUCCCUGGUGGAUCAGAUGGUAAAGAAUCUUCCUGCCAAUGCAGGAGACGAGAGUUUGAUCACUGCGUCGGGAAGAUCCCCUGGAGAAGGGAAUGGCAACCCACUCCAGUUUUCUUGCCUGGAGAAUUCCACGGAUAGAGGAGCCUGGUAGGCUACAGUUCAUGGGGCCGCAAAGAGUCAGACACAACUGAAUGACUUUCACUUCACUUUAUUUAAGAAGCAUGCAUUCUCAGUGUAGGACACACAUUAUUAUUCCUGUUUUACUGAUGAGGCAAUGACAACCAAGGUCAUAUAGCAACAUAAUAAAGUUGGAAUACACCUCCUCAAUAACAAAUCCAUUACAACAUACUGCCUCUUUAGACCAGAACUUACUGUAUUUGGGGCUACACACUUUCUGUCCUUUUCUUUCUUUCUCCUGAGCACAGAGUCCUUGAAAAGUUCUGUUUGAUACAUACAAUUUUUUAUCUUUCUUCUGAGGGGGUGACAAAUGAGGGUUUUGUUCCCUUUGUAGUGAAAAUGGUAUUAUGUUGCACUUUUAAGGCUCAAAGGAGAAUUGGCCAAAUUUUACCUUUUAACUUUACCUGUAGUAACUUAUACUCUGGUUAAUUGCAGCAACAUUGGAGAAAUUAACAUAGGUAUGUCAUGAUAAUUGGAUAUAGAUACUCAUAAAUUCAAAAUAAGAGUGAUUAAUCAUACCAUUAUAUAACAAUCUGAUUCCUAUCUCUUUUUCUUUUCUUGUAUUUCAUAGUUUAGCUCUUUAUUAUCAUGUGUUUCAUGUUUAGGUCUUGGUUUACCAACACAUAAAUAAGUUGAAUGUAGGAUUUCUCAUUUCUCUUGUUACCCUACAGCUGAAG